rnacentral:rRNA from 1 species
GUGAACGCUGGCGGUAGGCCUAACACAUGCAAGUCGUACGGCAGCACAGUAAUAGCUUGCUCUUCCGGGUGGCGAGUGGCGUUCGGGUGAGGAAUUCAUCGGAAUCUACUUUUUCGUUGGGUAUAACUUAGGGAAACUUACGCUAAUACCGCAUACUACCUACGGGUUAAAGCAUGGGAUCUUCGUACCUUUCGCUAUUUAUUGAGCCGAUGUCGGAUUAGCUAGUUGGCUGGGUAAAGGCCCACCAAGGCGACGAUCCGUAGCUGGUCUGAGAGGAUGAUCAGACAAACUGGAAGGGAGACACGGAACAGAAUACUACGGGAGGAAGCAGUGGGGAAUAUGGGACAAUGGGCGAAAGGCUGAUACAGCAAUACCGCGUGGGUGAAGAAGGACUUAGGGUUGUAAAGCCAUUUUGUUGGGAAAGAAAAGAAGCAGGUUAAUACCCCGAUGUUAUGACGGUACCCAAAGAAUAAGAACCGGCUAACUUCGUG